rnacentral:precursor_RNA from 12 species
NNNNGCGGGGACAGCCCGAGCCCCUCUCUGCGUGUUCACAGCGGACCUUGAUUUAAUGUCCAUACAAUUAAGGCACGCGGUGAAUGCCAAGAGAGGAGCCUCACAGCUUCAUUUUCAUGG